rnacentral:rRNA from 1 species
UACGUAGGGACCAAGCGUUGUUCGGAUUUACUGGGCGUAAAGGGCGCGUAGGCGGCGUGGUAAGUCAGCUGUGAAAUCUCCGAGCUUAACUCGGAACGGUCAGCUGAUACUGCUGUGCUAGAGUACAGAAAGGGCAAUCGGAAUUCUUGGUGUAGCGGUGAAAUGCGUAGAUAUCAGGAGGAACACCGGUGGCGAAGGCGGGUCUCUGGGCCGUAACUGACGCUGAGGAGCGAAAGCAUGGGGAGCGAACAGG